ACCCUUCUCAAACCGCGCUCUCUCCCCUAUAUUCCGUUUUGCCAGCGACGGUUGGCUAUGGCGAUAAAUGGUUAGCGCAAUAAGCUCUUCGGACCCGGGGGCGGUACCCGGCGCCUCCACCCAAGCCGCGACCCACAGUGCGGGACGCGGUUUCGGCGGGGGCGAAAUAGGAUCGACGAGGGUGUAAAGGCUUUUCUUUCGCUCGGUAUGGUACCACCGUUAUCGGACCAAACCUGUAGUUGCAAAUGACAACUAUGCUGAGGCUCGUCUCGCUGCGUAACGCAGUGCGAUAACCUUGACUAAGCCCUUUCCCUUAGCCGGGCGAGGCGGGGUUCGGAGGCACCCGGCAACAGAAGCCUCCACU
rnacentral:tmRNA from 1 species